GCCCGGCUGGCCAAAUGGCAAGGCGUCUGCUUCCUAAGCAGAAGAUUGUGGGUUCAAUCCCCACGUCGGGUA
rnacentral:tRNA from 1 species